AUAAAGUGAGUAAAAAUAGAUUUAUUUCUGAAGUUCACAUAAUAUAUUAUACAAAUAUCAACUUAUAUUUAUGUGAUGUCUUUAUUGUAAGGCUAAACACUUUGAACAUUUAACCCCAAAAAAAUCUCAUUUGCAUUGUUUAAUUCACCAUAAAAACAAACAAACAAACAAAAUACAACAAAGAAGCUCAUUAGUUUCGACAAAUCUUUUUUUCAAAGGAACAAUAAAUAUAUUUCUUGAAAUGAAAAAAAAAGCCAGCAAUUAUGUACUCCCAAUUGAAUAAAGGCCAAAACUAGACCAAUGUACACUAAACUCCAAUGU